rnacentral:rRNA from 1 species
UACGUAGGGUGCAAGCGUUGUCCGGAAUUAUUGGGCGUAAAGAGCUCGUAGGCGGUCUGUUACGUCGGCUGUGAAAACCUGGGGCUCAACCCCGGGCCUGCAGCCGAUACGGGUAGACUAGAAUUCGGUAGGGGAGACUGGAAUUCCUGGUGUAGCGGUGGAAUGCGCAGAUAUCAGGAAGAACACCAGUGGCGAAGGCAGGCUCUC